ACCGUGUGGAAAAAUUUAUCUGCGGAUAUGUGUAGGGUCCAACGAUAGUCACCAGCGUAGGGUGCGGGGAAGAAAGAGUCAGCGACGGGAUUUUCACGCGUCUACAACAUCUUCCAUCUUUAUCACCUUCAAAAAUACCUCUUCCCAUUCUAAAACUCUAAUCCAUACACCCAAAACUUUCCCACACAAAAAUGGCUUUCCUUGCUUUCUCCAAAUUCUUCUCAUUUGCUGCUCUUUUAGCAAUCCUUUUGCUGCUUAUCUCCUUCGACCUGGGAGCUGCUGCACAACCUGACAUUAAACCCGGGAGAAAACUUUUCCAAUGUGGCGGCGGCGCCUCCUUGCCUGCUCGCAUAACCGCCCUAACGCAUCCCUCUGGCCGGCCUUAGAGGAUAUUCACCGCCGCCGUGAAAUCCAUAACCACGGAGAGGAAAAUAAUCGAUACCCGAAAUCUACAUCCAACUAUCGGAGAUGUUGCCAUCGUUUUCAGUUAUGUCAUUUCAUACCAGUGGUAUAAAAUUAUUUCUGAGCUUUAUGUAUAAUAUAACUGUGUGUCAUUACAUCACUGUAAUAUUAACAAUAAUAAUAUGUAUGUCUUGGGUACUGAAAAAUUUCCCCUACUUUGUGUGUAUUAGUAUGAUCUGGUAACCAUGUAGUUCGAAUUCAUAUGUUUAUCAAAUCAGGAUCUGUUAUCUCGUAUGUUAGAUAAGACAGUGAGUUCAAUUUCACCAUGAUAUUUUGA